GAUUUGGCUCCCUUCUAUCAAUAUUGAGCCAUAUUGCCUGUAACUCGUUCCAGUAGUCUUCAAGAGUAAGUUGCCCUUGGUUCACCUUGUUUGCUUUAACCUCCAGGUCGUAAAUUUGGAGCGGAUCGACGGCUCCACUUCCGUAAGUUACUGCUAAGCUGUCCCAAACGGCUUUAGCCGUCUGAUGUUGGGUGAAAUUCAUCACUAAUUUCCCCUCCAUGUUCUGUAUUAACCAAGAAAAAACGGACAGAUCCGUUUCUUCCCACUUGUAGUAAUCGGGAUCUGUGAUUUGGGUGGUGGUGGUUGUCCGGUAAUGUGUUGGNAACAAUCAAGGGGUGGCUUUUGUAAUAUCUACAGAACUUGGGGGGUUAGUUCUCAUAAAAUGGGGUCUUUUAUGAGAAUAAGGAAAAGAUGGAGGGUUUGGUGUGAAAAUACCAAACCCUAUACCUGAUUUUAGUUCUCCACAAUUUCCUCCAGCCGCCUCCCCCUCAAGCCCGCCACCCCCAUUCUGCCCAGCCGGAGAUGACUGGUCCACGGCCACCGCCGCUGCUCUCGCGACACCCGCCGUUGCUCCGGUCUGCUCCUGACCGUCUCCGAUGCUGCUCGCCACUUUGCCUUUUGCCAUUUUGUGGUUGUCUUCCCACCAUUCCGGGUAGCCAACGAGUUGGAAACGCAUUUCCUUGGUGUGUUUGUUCAUGCCACAAUGAGUGCAGUAGAGUUUUGAUUUAUCUUCUUUCUUGCGCGAUGAUGGAUUUCCUGAGCGCGUUUGAGAGCUUUUGCCGGCGGUGGUUUGUGGCGAAUGGAUUUCAGUCCGUUGAGCAGGGCAGUAGGUAGUGGCGAGCCCGGUCCCGAUCUCUCCCGAUGAUGAAGUGUCGGCGUCGGAGCGGUUGGUUGCCGGCUGCAAGAUUUGUAGCCUGGCGGCCUCCCUUUUUACUUUUGAGAACGCCAACUCUGCUGAGGGAGCAGGGGUCUCCUUGAGGAUAUCCCGCCGGACAUUGUCGUAUUUUGCGUUCAAUCCGGAGAGAAAUUGGUAUAGCCGCCGGUUUCCGAUCAAUUUCCGGUAUUUGGCUAUGCCCUCUUCGCAACAGCCAAGAGGAUUUGGCUCCCUUCUAUCAAUAUUGAGCCAUAUUGCCUGUAACUCGUUCCAGUAGUCUUCAAGAGUAAGUUGCCCUUGGUUCACCUUGUUUGCUUUAACCUCCAGGUCGUAAAUUUGGAGCGGAUCGGCGGCUCCACUUCCGUAAGUUACUGCUAAGCUGUCCCAAACGGCUUUAGCCGUCUGAUGUUGGGCGAAAUUCAUCACUAAUUUCCCCUCCAUGUUCUGUAUUAACCAAGAAAAAACGGAUAGAUCCGUUUCUUCCCACUUGUAGUAAUCGGGAUCUGUGAUUUUGGGUGGUGGUGGUUGUCCGGUAAUGUGUUGGGAUCUGCCUCUGCUGCCUAUGGCCACCUUCAUGAGGCGUGCCCAUAGCGGAUAAUUGUUGCCGUCUAACUUGAACCCGAGUAUGACGUUGUCGGAGUUUCGCAUUAGAUUGGCGAUUUGUUGGGUUAACUCACUGUUUGUAUUUGCAGAGUUGGUG
rnacentral:lncRNA from 1 species